rnacentral:rRNA from 1 species
UUUUCCUUUGUGCUGGCUUUGACCGUAUGUAAUUUUGGGACUUUAAAAUGGUUCGCAAGGGCCGGUCCCAAAAACAAUAUAUCAUCCUUAUGAAAUUUUUUCUGAACAAUUAAACAAAUGAUUUUAAUAAUCUGUUUAAAACAACUUUCAACAACGGAUCUCUUGGUUCUCGCAUCGAUGAAGAACGCAGCGAAAUGCGAUACGUAAUGUGAAUUGCAGAAUUCAGUGAAUCAUCGAAUCUUUGAACGCACAUUGCACUCCUUGGUAUUCCGAGGAGUAUGCCUGUUUCAGUAUCAUGAGCACUCUCACACCUAACCUUUGGGUUUAUGGCGUGGAAUUGGAAUGCGCCGACUGUCACGGUUGGCCCUUCUAAAAUGUAGUUCUUGGCUGUCACCUAAUACAGCAGUUUGGCCUAAUAGUUUUGGCAUUCAUUGUCAAAUCUUUGGCUAACAUUUGCUCCAGGAGUCAGUCUUGAUAAUACAGAAAACUCAUUCAAAUUUUGAUCUGAAAUCAGGUAGGGCUACCCGCUGAACUUAAGCAUAUCAAUAAG